UACGUAGGUGGCAAGCGUCGUCCGGAUUUACUGGGCGUAAAGAGCGCGCAGGCGGCCAAGUCAGUCGAAUGUGAAAGCCCCCGGCUUAACUGGGGAGGGUCAUUCGAUACUGCUCGGCUCGAAGACAGGAGAGGGAAGCGGAAUUCCCGGUGUAGUGGUGAAAUGCGUAGAUAUCGGGAGGAACACCAGUGGCGAAGGCGGCUUUCUGGCCUGUUCUUGACGCUGAGGCGCGAAAGCUAGGGGAGCAAACGGG
rnacentral:rRNA from 1 species